rnacentral:lncRNA from 1 species
CAGACAUAAUCAGGAGGCACUUUUGUGCUGUUAGGAAACCAUUUGGAGCUUUCAGAAAGAGAAUUUCAGAGAGAUUCCUCAUUGUCACCGCUAUUUCUCUCUUUCAUGGAUCUCCCUUUAAAUCCCCACCUAACAGCGUUUCAUCAGGGGAAGAAAUACACUUGUAAAGAUCUUACAGAAGUAGAUUUUGCUGAAGCAAAGGGAGGGGAUGAGGCUGAAAUCCUAUUUGGAAGACAGGUGAAAACUGUCAUCAAUCUGUUUCAGUAAUAUGAUUAUUUGAAUGAGUAUCAGGUGGGACUUCCCCAUAAAGAAAAAAAAAAAAAAAGGAAACCCAGGGUAAAAAGAGCUGAAAUUAUAGGAGAAGGAAGAAAGGGGGUGAUGGAGAUAGGGGCUGUGGCACUGGCAAUACAGCUGCUUUUAGGGACUACAAGAAGGAGUGAAAAAUACCACCAAGGGAAUCCAGCCAGGUGGUUAUAAAGUAUGAUAAAAUAGGAUUUAGGGGAACAGCUUGCAGCAUGCCAUGCUGGGAUACAGGAUCUUGUGUUGUCUUGUGAUUGUGAGCCUGGGUCUCCGUUACGAUUGUGCUGCUAUGAGUGCCAGCACUGUGCCUGGAAAGUGGAUCAGCUGAGCCUUGAAUGCUACCUGCUGCUUUUCCCAGUGAGUCUAAAGCCAGCCUACCUCUGUGGAGCUUCACCACUGAGCUCAUACCCAGUACACCGCAUUCAACAUCUCUCAGCCGAAAUCCUCCUAGUCAAGGCAAACUCAAUCAUCUGACAGAGGUCACGAAGCAAACGAGGAAUCGUCCCAACGAUACCAACACAAGGCAUUAAAAGGGAUCGAGAGUUAGUUGAGUAAGUCUGCGAAACAAUUUGCAUUUCAAAUCUCAGGCAAGCAGCUGUGUAAUUUCUGCCUGUAGAUUCACCGCUGCGAUGUUCAUUAUCUGAUUAUCACUACCUACCAACCUUCCAAGCACUAAUGCACAUUGUCUUCUUGGCUCUUGAGUUACUGACAUGUGUCUGACACUGAAUCUGCGAGUAAUUGCUAUGGCUCCCCUCAAUGAAGCAUCUCUGAGGACGCUCUUGGAAAUAAAAUGUUCCUUCUCAAGCCA